rnacentral:lncRNA from 1 species
CGGCGUGUACGGGUUCUGGAAGUACGUGUCCAACCUGGAGAGGCGCGAGACCCGGCGGUACCUGGAGAUGCUGUACGCGCUCAAGUACCGCACCAUGGCCAGCACGGUGCCGUUGGCCGUGGAGGGAGAGCCCUCCAGCAAGUGAUGCGGCGGCCGGGGCCUGAAAGAAGGGAGCACUUGAAGUCGUCUUUUCCUGGGUUCCUUCCUUAUUUCUGAGGCCAAAAGAAGAAGAGUUUGGUUUUCCUAGGCGGGCAUCAAGAAUCAAGGUCUUCCAUUGAUGUGGGCGUUGCUGCUAGUUUUGAGUUGAUUUGGUAGUUGGGGAUGCAUGGGGUGUGUGUGUGCAGUCGGUCAUGGGUGCUCCCUUGUUUCCUGGAUGGAUGGAUGUUGCUCCUUCAAUAAAC